AAAUUUACAAUAAAGUCCACACAUUGACCCCAAUUUUGAGUACAAUUUCGCCCAUCGCCGUCGUUGACUUUUUUUUUUUAAUAUUUUUUUUUUUGUGUUUAACAUCUUUUUGCCCCGUGUAAACAACAAUAUUGAUGUGGUUGACAGUCAUAUUAACUAUAUUACUGUUAAACACAAUAAUAUUAACUAUAAUACAGAACACAGUAAUAUUGUUAUAUUAAUCUCUAGCACAUAAAUAUUAGUGUAAAAGGCAGUUUGCCCCCUAAACUAAGGGCCGAUUUGCAUUUUACCCCCAAACAAAAAAAAAUUGCACUUUUUUACCUGAACUUGAUAAUUCGUUGCACGGUGCUACGGCUGAACUCAAUUUUCCGGCAAUUUUGACCGGAAAGUUAAAACAUGUGCCUUGCACGUGACAUCUGCAGGGAUAUAUUCGUCAUUUCACUUACAUGCUGUAUAUUAAAUGCCUAAAUAUAAAUUAAUCUUAAAAAAAAAAAAAAGAGAAAAAAAAAAAAUUGUCUUCGUUUUCCCUUCACCCACCAGUGCCACCACCAUCCCAAACCCAUCCCAGCCAAAAAUUCCGUCAGCCAUCGGCCGCCGGCAGCAAAUCAUCUCCACCUCCACACCUUCCCCACCUUGAUUCCACCUCUAAACUAAUUUCAAUCUGUUGCCGUCACCUACCUCGUUUCAUCCUUAGUCCGCCGACCGAGUCUUCGGAUCAUAGAAGUAAAAAAAGAUCUCCCCAAUUUUUCUUUCUAAGAAAUCACCAUCUCCGUCUAUGCUCCUCCGACGUGAAAGAUCCCAGCUAUUUUUGGGUAUUUUUACUUUUUAUGAUUUAAGUAUAAUAUAAAGUAGAAUUUAAAUUGAUAAUUGAGAUAGAAAUUGGGGAAGGAAAUUAGAGAAGAAGAAACUUGGGGAAGAAGAAGAAUACAGAGAUAAGAGAGAUUCUGAAGAUGAUGACGACAAAGUGAACUAGGUUUUUGCUGGGAAUGUGGGAGGGCGAUUACUGUUGGUGGUGAGAUGGGUUUUUGGAAGACGAUGAAGAAGAAAACAAUUUAAAAAACAAAAGACGAUGAUUUGGCUUGGGUUUGGGGGCUGGUGAGUUACAGC
rnacentral:lncRNA from 1 species